rnacentral:rRNA from 1 species
UACCAGCACCCCGAGUGGUCGGGACGAUUAUUGGGCCUAAAGCAUCCGUAGCCGGUUCUGCAAGUCCCCCGUUAAAUCCAGCUGCUCAACAGAUGAGCCGCGGAGGAUACUACAGAGCUAGGAGGCAGGAGAGGCAAGCGGUACUCAGUGGGUAGGGGUAAAAUCCGUUGAUCCAUUGAAGACCACCAGUGGCGAAGGCGGCUUGCCAGAAUGCGCUCGACGGUGAGGGAUGAAAGCUGGGGGAGCAACCGG